GAUUUUUUGCGUGUUGCGCUUGAAGUCUCCAUCGGUGUGUAGAGUUCUAGGUAUACAGUUGAAAAGACACUAAGUCACACGCUAUAAUCUGUCAACUUUUGAGCAUAUCCUUUUCACCGUGCAUAACUGACAAAUGAAUUUGUUUUUGUUUUUCUCGACGUUUGUCAAAAGUUUUGUUUUUCUUUUCCGGUUUUCAAUAAUUAAAUUAUUUUGGUUUGCGUUUGUAAUUUUAUUGAGUAUCUACGAAAAUCUGUUUAUUUACAAUGUGCAUCAGGUCAAGGAAAAAGUGUUGGAAAUUUACAGCCAUCUCCUCACGGCGUAUGUCCGACUUUCCCGCAUCACCGUUGGCAGCUUAUUCCAACACGAUGGUCCAUACACUAGCACACUUUUCCUGCUAGAUGUACUAUGUCGAGAGAUGUUGACACCUCUUAUGCAUUCCAGCUGUGAUCGUAUCCGGGUAGCGUUCCGUCGAUAGCCGUUUUCAUAAAGCCACUAAUCUGGAAUCGGUAUAGUUGGGCGGUAUAUCGUGCCCAAGAAUUUCUUUCCGUUAUGCUGCAGUCGUGUCUCGAUGACGAAGGCGGUGGAUGAAACGGAUAGCUGACUUAAAGCAACGAUGGAGGUGCUCUUUGAGCGCAGCAGACAGACCCGGACUAUAGUGGCCUCUACAGUGUCUUCAUUUCGAAUGGUUCAUAACUACGAUGCCAACUACAAAGGAACUGUAAGUCGUGUUCCUGGUCGUUCACUUUUCCUGCUGCGCAUCUCACCUUUCCAUUCCCCUCAAAUCAAACACCAUUUUCGUCGAGUUACAACUUUUAAUGCUGAUAAAAGUUUGUAAUAAUCUAUUCUGAGUCAACAACAACAUGCACGGUAACUUUGAAACAACUAUUGAAAAAUCUGAAUGGGUUUCCUGAAUACAGUCACGACAUGUUCUACCGAGCAAUAUACCGGGAUGAAUGAGCCGGUUAAAGCAAUCACAAUUGAAAAGGAUCGGUUGCAUUGAUGUCUUGAAAUUCCUAGAGGAUGUACCGGAUGUAACGACACCGAACGUCAAACCAAAAUCUACUGACUUAACAGGCGUGUCCGUUUCCGUGAAGCGUCCGUUUCACUGAAGUCAACAAAAGGUAUAACCUCGAGGAUUUUACAAGGUGGAUUGAUCAGGUGGUAGAUGAUUUCCGGACCCUUUGUAGACUGAUUGGCUAGCGACGUACAGCCACAGAGAACAGACGUUCAUCUUCAUUCGCGUGCUUGUGUAAAAGUUUGUACUGGUCGUUUUGAAGUAUGUUGUUAUGCCCCCGUUGCGUGGUGCUAGUGUGCUGAUAAAUAUGGUUAAAAUUUGCCGUAUUUUACUUUCUGGCGCUAGUGUUCAUUCCGAAUCGAGCCUAGGCUCGCUCCUAGGUGGCAGCACUACAUUGUUUAUGUAGUGUAUGCCAACGCCAUCACUUAGAUUGAGAUUGAGUUUUUAUGUCGGGCAGCCUGCGUUGGCGGCGCUGAGGUGCGAUUUAAAUCUUUACACAGGUUUUUAACGAAAUUUUGUUCGAGCAUCUAUGUCUGUUCUCUGUGGUACAGCCAUGGACCGGUGAAUGGAUACGACUGUUAUAUACUGCAGAGGCCACUCCGGCAUUAGGUUGAAUGAAACAUAUAAUGCUGCCACGAAUAUACCCCUCUCUGUGUGAAAAGAAGACCGUUGAUGUAGCAAAACCGUCAAGCGUUACUACGCGAUCUAAAGAAAAUUUAAUUAAUUAA